rnacentral:rRNA from 1 species
CCUACGGGAGGCAGCAGUGGGGAAUAUUGGACAAUGGGCGAAAGCCUGAUCCAGCAAUGCCGCGUGAGUGAUGAAGGCCUUAGGGUUGUAAAGCUCUUUUACCAGGGAUGAUAAUGACAGUACCUGGAGAAUAAGCUCCGGCUAACUCCGUGCCAGCAGCCGCGGUAAUACGGAGGGAGCUAGCGUUAUUCGGAAUUACUGGGCGUAAAGCGUACGUAGGCGGUUAUUCAAGUCAGAGGUGAAAGCCCGGGGCUCAACCCCGGAACUGCCUUUGAAACUAGAUAACUAGAGUCUUGGAGAGGUUAGUGGAAUUCCGAGUGUAGAGGUGAAAUUCGUAGAUAUUCGGAAGAACACCAGUGGCGAAGGCGACUAACUGGACAAGUACUGACGCUGAGGUACGAAAGCGUGGGGAGCAAACAGGAUUAGAUACCCUGGUAGUCCACGCCGUAAACGAUGAUAACUAGCUGUCCGGGCACUUGGUGCCUGGGUGGCGCAGCUACGACAUUAAGUUAUCCGUCCGUCGGGUAGGUACGGUCGCGAAGAAUUAAAACUUAAAACGUAAAGUUAGUACGGACGUGAGACGUGCCGAACGGACGACGACGAGGGAGGUAGG